GGGGGAAGCAGUCUUGCCAGUAUCAGGGGCCUGGCACAAAUCUUUAGCUGGGUUCUUGUGGUUCCAGCCCCUGGUCGGCAGCAGGACGCGAUGCGUUGGCUCCAGUCUUCCCAGUGGGACAGGCCCCAACAACCCCCGCUGGAGGCUCCAACGCUCUUCCUAGAAUCAACUGCUCCCAGAGGGGAAGGGAAGCCUCCCUCUCCCCCGACCCUGACUGCCUCCAAAGCAGAAGCCCAGAGCCACCACCCUGCACUGGGGCUUAGGAGCUCAGAAAUGCUGAGACAGACACUUGAGCCUCCCCGAAUCUGCCCCGCAAAGAUCUCUGGAGGAUGGAAUCCAAAAGAUCAAGAAGGUAGGGAACCAAGGACAUAUAGACUCCUGCACACAAUUUACGAAGAGACCUUUGCCAGCCCUCCCUACCCGAUGGACCCCAUGGAAGCACCGCACGAAAUACAAGUCUGUUCUGCCUGGCCUGGCUCAGAUCCUGAGGCCAACCCCCUCCCCCCAGCGACGUGGAACUAGGCACACGUCGCCCAGCCUGGUGCUCAUGACAUUUUGAAGACAGGCAGCUUUCUGGGGCAGCAGCAGUUAAUGGGAUGGGGUGAGUCUUUUGGGUUCUGGAGUACCCCCCACCUCUGGACUCCUAGGCAGGCUUUGUGUGGGCACCACUGCCUGACCUAGCUCCAGCCGCCCCAGGCACGAGGAGUACAGGAGGAGCCUGGAGCGGGUCCUCUUGCAGUUGGCAAGUCUCCCUGCUCCAGUCUUUGGGGCGACCAAUGCCAUUCCAAACAGGUGAAACGGCAGGGCCAGGCACCCCCCGCCACAGAGCCCUCAUUGUGUGCUGAGGACAGGCAGGGCUCCGGGAGAUGGGAUUUUAAGGAAGGAGGGAACCUCAGAGCAGCCCAGUGUGAGAAGGGAAGCCCAGCACCUGCCUUCAGAGCCCAGUCUAAAGGAAGAGAUUGUCCCUGUCCCGCAAAGCCCACACCCUGAGAACAAAGGGAAGAUUCGCCUCAAAAUGAAGAUACGAACAAACAAAAGUGCCAUCCACGUAUAUUAACUUCCUGGGACUGCUGUAACAAACGACUACAAACUUGGUGGUUUAAAACAACAGAAAUGUAUUUUCUCACAGUUCAGGAGGCCAGAAGUCCAAAAUCAAGGUGUUAGCAUGGCUACAACUCCCUUUGAAGGCUUGAGGGGAGAACCCUUCUUUGGGUUCUGGUGGCUUUUUUUCCGGCUUCUGGUGGCUCCUUGUGUUUGCGGGUUUGGGGCAGCAGAGCUUCGAUCUCUGCUGCCGUCUUCACUUAGCCUUCAUGUCUGUGUGACUCUGUUUCCUGUCUCUUAAAAGGAUACUCACUGGAUUUAGUGCUCACUCUAAUCCAGUACAAUCUCAUCUCAAUUCUUACCAUAAUUAUAUCUAUAAACACCCUAUUUCCAAAUAAGUCACAUUCUGAGGUUCCAGGUGGACAUGAAUUUGGAGCGAGACACUGUUUGACCUGCUACACUGUAACAGACCAGGAGCAUAUGGGGUUGCUGAGGCAGUGGUGAAAACUUACUGGAGAGAUUAAUGAUAAGAAAAUUUUAAAAAUUUAAAAAAUUUAAAAAACUUGCUGAAGAGACAGUUGUGGUAAGAUGUGGCCGGAGCCAAUCUGGGUGUAGCUUUUAGCUCAACUUUAAGUAUUCUGGAGAGUGGGCAGCUGGGAGGCAUGAAAUUUGUGGGGUUCCUGUCCACACUGCCCCCCACCCAAUUUCUCUGGCUCCUUCACACAUAGACACCUGCUCUAGAAGAGAGCUCUCUCUUUUUUUAAUCAUUAUUUUGAAAUAAUUUUAGACUUUCCAAAAACAUUGCAAAAAUAUUGCAAGGUUCACAUGCACCCUUCACCCAGCUUCCCCAACAUGAUCAUACCACAGAAACAUUGUGCAAUUAUCAAAAUAAAUAAAUUAACAUGGACCCCAUACUAUUAAUUAAUUAUAGACUUCAUUCAGAUUUUACCAGCUCUUCCACUGAUGUCCUUUUCUGCAGCAGGAUCCAGACCAGGAUUCCACAUUCCAUCAGUUGUCUCGUCUGCUCAGUCUUUUCCCUCUUUCCUUGCUGUUCAUGACAUUUCUGCAGAGUACUGGUCAGGUGUUUUGUAGAACAUGCCUCAGUUUGGGCUUUUCUUAUAUGUUCUCAUCAUCAGAUAGGUUAUGUAUUUCAGCAAGAAACCCACAGAAAUGAUGUUAUGUCCUUCUCCGGGUAUCAUCUCAGGUAUACAAGACGUAUGUCGAUGGGUCUUAUUGCUGCUGAUGUUAACUUUGUCCAUUGGCUAAGGUGGUGGUUGCUGGGUUUCUCCACUGUAAUGUUACUAUUUUUCCCAUUAAAAUUAAUAAGUACCUUGAGGAAGAUACUUUGGGACUGUGCAACUAUCCUGUUUCUCCUUAAGCUUUUACCCACUACUUUUUGCAUCCAUCAGUGAAGAGGAAGAGCUCCUGAUGCCCACUGGGCCCAAGAGCUUCAUUUGCCCUGGACUCCUUGAGGGACUGUAGUUUUUUAGGAGACAAAGAGGGGGAUGGAGGCUUCAGGCCCAAGAAAGAACUCUUUCUUUCUCUCUAGCCCAGCCACAAAGCCAGGCUGGGCCUCCUCAAACCCUCUCUGUGCCCUAAGACUCCCAUACCACUUCCCUUGAAGAGACAAUGAUUCAAGGUGUUUCUUUAAUCACUGAUGUCUUGAGUCUUUCCUACACCCCCUAAGCCCUGGGGAAAGGAGGCGGCAGUCAGGGUCCUCCCCAUGUCUUAGGUCUGGAGAGGCUCAUAGUCAAAAGACUGGUUGGAGCCCUCCUUGGGGUCUCCAACCCGCAGGGUCUUCCCAGGGCCAGGUUUCUCCUCCCUUCCGGGAAGAUUCUAUACCGCCUGCCCUCCCCUCCCCUCCACAUGGCCCCUUCACUUUGCCCACCCCUCUGCCCACCAGUCCCAGCCCUGCUGUCUAGUGAGGGCAAAGUCUUCUAGAGCUGAGGGCUGUCCCUGCCAGAAAUGACAGGCUAGGGCCUGAGCUGACCUGGACCUCGUCCUCAGCCACCAGAAAGACAGGACUGGUAUGGGGGCAGAGAGUAGGCUGGCAGGCAGGACUGCAGGCCCAGGAGGCAACCGUAAGUCUGAAGCACCUCCUCCAGGCCCUGGGUCCCCUUUUCCCUAAAAAGCUUUGCCACCCGCGGGUUUCCCAAGCCGGCCAGCCUAUCCACACCAAGUGUCCUUUGAGAGCCUGGGUUGACACAACAGACAGGCCCAGCCAAGUGCUUCAGUGUCCGUGGCCUUGUCUGAGACUGCCAGCUGCUGAAGCAGACGCAAAAGACGCUCUCAUACUACAGAUGCAGAAGGUUCAGAGCUUGAGGAAAUUCCCCAGGUCCACAGCAAGGAAGCCGCUCCACCAGGAUUCAAUCCCAGCACUGCCUGGCUACAAGCUUCAUUUUUCAAUGACAGGUGACCUCCUGCCAAGAGUCAGUAAAACUCAGAGCCAAAAAGGGCCCUGGGAGUCAUCUAAACCAGCCUCUUAACUUCACAGAUGGGGAAACUGAGGCCCAGAGAGGGAAAGUUGCACAGCAGAGCCUGCUUCGAAAGUGCAAAAUAUUUAACAACUGUCAACCAGGAAUGUGAGCUAGCAGAGUAUGAACACGUGGGUGAAAAGAUUCAGGAUCACAUUCAAGUUGCUAGGAACAUAAGCAGUUAGGUGGCCAAAGGCCAGCAACAAAUGGGCAACAAAUGGAGCUAAUUGUCCAUUAGCUCCCUGCUCAGGCAAAGUCAGGCUUAAGUUCUCCAGCCAAUCACCCUGGGCAUCAGCUGCAAACUGAGCUCCACCCCCACCAGCCUAGUCCUCUCAGUGACCCCUACAACCCUACCCAUCUCCCAGCCUCCGCCUGAAUUUAUACUUCCGUCCUCUCUUCCUGCCCAAAUCCCUCCUGUUCUUAAAAGCUGAGCCUCAGUUCAACACACAGAUUUGAGAUAUAAUUUCUGCAGACUGCGCAGCAUUAAGUAGAUGCUCAAUGAAAGACAGUGAAAAGGGAUAGAGAGAAGGAGAGGUGAGUAAGGGAAAGAUGAUAAGGCAGUGGGGAAGGAUGGAAGGAUGGACGGAUGGAU